rnacentral:lncRNA from 1 species
ACAACUACUCCAAUUUUCUUCAAACACCCAAUUAUAGAGAGUCGGCAUAUGCGUGGACGGAAUAGAUAGUCUUACUACCGGGAAACCACGAGCCUUCUCGCAUAGAAUCCCUUUCAAGUCCGUGUCAAGCCAACUCUUAGAAAGCUUACUUAGGUCAUACAUGCUGCAUAAGCCCUAGGUGGUUUGACCCUUGGUGUCAAU